GUUAAUUUGAAAUAAUAUUCCACUGCAUGUCCUGUGUGUAAGACUGGCUUAUUCUUACAUGCAGCAAAAAAAUUUACCUUCCUGUAGACUGCAGUCUUUUGUUCUCAACAUUAUGAUGUCAUGAAUGAUGAGUGACUCAGUGUCUUACCUUAAGAUAUCCUUAAUAUUGGAUAUUACUUUAUUUAUUUCUACCAUGAAUUUAAACCAGAAAAAAUAGGGGGAAAAUACAUUAACUUAGUAUUAAUUUUUAUUAAUUGUAUUUUUGCAUAAUAAGGCACAAAGCUAAGGCAGGACUGUUAUGAAUGUAAGGUGGCCAAAGUUUUGCCAAGGCAUGUUCUCACAAUUUUCCAAAAUCAAUCAGGCCCUCUAAGUUUAUCAAGCUUAGUUAAAAUGGGUAGUUCUACAGUAAAUGUAAAAUGGGUAAUUGUAAAACUUAAAAUGGGCAGUUCUGAAAUCCAGUUUUUGAGCUUUAUAUGAAAAUUAAUUAUACAUUAAGCAUCUAUACAGGAUAUUUAAGCAAAAGUAAAUCCAUCUUUGCCAUGGCAAAAAUGUCUCAUUGAAGGGGAGUUUCUGGCGCAGUGAUUAAUGCAUGAACCUUGUCUGCCACAUAGUUAGCCUGUGUUCACUACCUCUGUUCUUGUCGAAAUGGGCAGUUCUAAAAUUUUCUUAGGAUGACCCCUGCAUAAACAUACUAUGCAAGUACA